GAUGAAGAACGCAGCGAAAUGCGAUAAGUAAUGUGAAUUGCAGAAUUCAGUGAAUCAUCGAAUCUUUGAACGCACCUUGCGCCCUUUGGCUAUACCGAAGGGCAUGCCUGUUUGAGUAUCAUGAACAUCUCAACUCCUCACGGUUCGCCCGUGACGAGCUUGGACUUUGGGGGUCUUGCCGGCCUGCGGGUCGGCUCCUCUCAAAUGAAUCAGCUUGCCGGUGUUUGGUGGCGUCACAGGUGUGAUAAAUAUCUACGCUUGUGGUUUUCCGCCAGGUAACCUCCAGCGAUGGGGGUUCACUGGAGCUCACGAAUGUCUCUCCUCGGUGAGGACAGCUCUUUGAACGUUUGAUCUCAAAUCAGGUAGGGCUACCCGCUGAACUUAAGCAUAUCAAUAAGCGGAGGA
rnacentral:misc_RNA from 1 species